AGGAGACUGUGGGAAGAGCAUGAAAUGCAAGAGCAUCGUGGGAAAGACCAGAGUCACAAACGCCAUGGCUCCUCCCCGAAACCCAUCCGGAAGACCUGAGUAAUGUUGCUAAGGAAACAGGCAUCACCUACCGUUAGGUCCAAGAGUCUAGCAAGGCUUUUCUCAGGAAAAAUAGAACAGCUACAAAACAGGAAUUGUCCUGUCUUCUGCAGGAGCCUAUUGCCCACACCCUGCUGGAUCAAGCUAUAAUGUCCUACUUUCUGAUCCCUGCUAGGGAGGGCCUGUGGAGCCUGAAACUCUGCAAGCUCAUAAGUGUUUGAAAGGUUAUUCCUCAAAUACUCUCCUCUGGAAGCUCUGUAGUUGAAGAGACUAACAUCAGGAAGGGAACUGAUUGCAGGAACAUCAGCUCGGUAAGAGAGGAAGAGGCAAAAGGGGCAGUGAAAAAGGGCAAGGAUGAUGACUGCUUACAUCUGCACCCCUCGAGAAGAACUGCAGCACAGCCUGAGCAACAAGGAACAGCAGUGAGAUUCAAGAAAAACAAUUACUUUUAUUAGACCAGUCUAUAUAGCUAUAAAAAGCAGAGGAGCUUUCAGAGGCAGCUCUGCUUUAGCAGAUGAGGCAAAGCACAAACCAGAACAAAACUGUCAUGUAAACAUAACUGUGCUAACCUUGAACAAGGAAAGCACUCAGCAUUUAGGGAGCAGUGUGUGCAUGACAAGCCAGAUGACCAGUCACUGGUCCCUUUGAAAGGGGGAUAAACUGCAGAUAGUGACAGAAUGAUGCAGUAAUACAGAGCCAGUGUAUCUAUGUGAGGCCCCAAUUUUUAGCAUGCAGCAGACGUGCCUUAGUUACUCUCAGACAGCAAAACAACAGACAAAGCAUUUUCUGAGCAAGUAUAUUGGUUACCACAUGCUGUUACUAACCAUACAAUUAGGCAACCAUUAAACGCAAAGAUACUAGCUCUAGUAUAGAAAAUCAGUGGUGGAUACAGCAUCAUCUUUACAAACUUCCCCUGGGCUUAUAUGCUUCCAGUGGUAUCUACCAUUGGCCAGCCCUGGGAGACAGCUCACAGGGCUAGGUGGAUCCCCAUCUGGGACAUCAGUUCUUGCUCUGCCUCUUACCAAACACAGGUUCACACAGAUACAGAGAUGCUGUUUACAACAAAGUAAUUUUGCUUCCAAAAAAUGCACUUUUUAUAUUUGACUGACAAGCUUAGGGUUAUGCUUUCAUUACAAGGGAACCAACCUAACUCAAACAAACCACACCACACUGCCACAUUUGAAACUCACUACAGUUUCAUAAACUAUAACUAGCAAUGUCACUGAAAAGGGUGCUUUCAUGUUGCCUACUUGUUUUCUGUUUCAUGCUUCAUCAUGUCUUUUGCCAUCUCAAGCAUUCAUAUAGUCAUAAAUUGGGUCAGAGUUAAUCUCUUAGAAACAACACACCCUCCAGUCGAUAUUACUGCAUCCUGUUGAACUAGGGAUCCUCCUGGUAGCAGACAGCCUCAAAGACCAGGAAGAAGCAGUUAGGGGUAUCAGAGGACUACUAGGCACACAGCCAGCUGUAUUUGUGGCAUCUGACAACCAGCUGGCACAUGGCCCAUCAGAUGCAAAGGUAGCAAUCUCACAUGGCAUCUACACUGACUACUUGGCGAUUCAGCAAAGAAAAGAGUAGUCCAUGGGAUCCAUGGUAGUAACAGUAGUGUAUGGAUGUAACAGUAGGAUGGAUGCUCUGGAGUGUAAACACGGGUCACUGGGGAGAAGACUGACAUUCAGGAUUCUCUUGGUGUUAUUUUCUCCAAUGUUGCCAGUUCCACAUGCAAGAGGGAGGCUGAGAUCGGAAGUCACUGAUGCAGAGGGAAAGGAUUUAGGCAUGAUGGGGACAGGAAGAACUUGUUAGGCAUGCACAUUAAUCAUGCCAGAGUCAAGCAGACGGCAUGCUAUUAAGUUUUGGAACCUGCAAACACUUUACACAACUGCUAAAAAUUUCGUAACACAUGGGAAGCCCAAAUGCUUGGCCUCACCUGACUCCUCAAAGGAACAGGCAUCUCCAAGGCUUGGUGGAAGGAUGACAAAUUAAUACACUACAAAACUACCAGCUUACUCAGCAAUUCCAAGAGGAAUGGCAAACAACAGUCAGGUGGGGAACGGCCCUGUAUGUGAAGGACAUAUAAAUGGCAUAAAGUAUUACAGAAGAGAAACCCAACGAACUUCUUAUAGUAGUUCACCCUGCAUGACUGAACAGGGAAGCUGAGGAGGGCAUCAGAGAGAGGUCAGCUUUUAAAGGCAGAACGCUUGCCUAAUGAGAAGAGCUUGUAAAACACAUGGCUGAUCAAAAGUAAACAGUAAAUCAAUAACUACAAAUGCUUUGGUAGCACCUUGCAAAGUCACCGAACUACAUCAAAAGCAGGAAACCAAACAGAAAAACCAGUGGGAUCUCUUGCAGACCAAGGUGAAGAAGGGAUACAGGGAUGACAGCACCAGUGCAGAGGAGUUCACUGAACAUCCUGUUCCCAGUCCUUACUGGUUAAGCAACUGGGGAGACUUUCAGACCUACCUUCACAAUAUAUAGGUCAGACGGACUGGGUCAACUUGAAGUACAGAGGCUUUAGGCUGAACAGGGAAGCUAGAUAUAGUUCACCCAGUGCAGGCAUUUCCAGGACAGUUCCAAACCUCAAACAGAACUGCUGGGCCACAGGUCACCAGUCUAAGUCCAGUGCACACAAAGACCCUAACAGGGCUGGCACAACCAAAAAGCAGAUAUGAUUUCCACCCCUUCAUAGUAACCCUGGAUCAGAUCACUGCACACAGCACAGUCUGCUGGAAAGAGUACCCACAGCUUCUGCAAAAGGAAAUCCUACCAAGGGCACAACUCUUCUCCCAGGUGGUGCCAGCUUACAUACCCCUCUGAAUUUGGGGACUAAACUGCUGGAUCCACUGAACACCUGGGUCAAACACCGGAUGAUCUUAUGGAAGGGAUCAAUCGGGAUUAUUUUGGAAAGAACUUGUAAAUGGAAAGUUCAGGCACCCAAAAGGGCUCAAGACUGCGUGACAACCUGCACAUUCUCUGCUACAUCCUGCAGGCAUCUGCUAAACUUCACCAUCUGAAUACCACGAUGCAAAGGUCUGCUGCACACCGCAAUGUUUACAACUGUGUGCUUAAAAGCACCAUGACACAUCCAGAUGAACUCAACAGGAGGAAAAAAGUUCCCAUGUCCUUGUUUAGCCUUAUAUUCCAGCCUGUAAGCUUUGCUCUGAUCACUGGGGAGUUGGAUGUAGGGCAAACAGGCAAUAGUGCUAACAGCAGGGAAGCAAAAGGAAGUUUGUCAUACGUGAUUGCUUUUUCUCCCAUAGCUUCUGCAGUACUCACCAGCACCAACCUACCUGCUGAUGGUGCCAGAAGCUGGAAAAGUCACACAGGUGAGUCCACACACACACAGAUCAAACAAUUGGGUUGCAACUCACUGUUAUCUUUAGCACCGCUGGAGACAACAGCAGGCUAAUGGUCUCAGCCAGGAGAGCAGGCACUUUCUCAGAACACAAAACAAAUCCAGGUUAAAGCAAUUUAAGCUGCAGUUCUUGGCAGCCUAAAAUUAAUAAUGCCUGCCCAACCUGCAUGGAAGAGCCGGGCCCUUAAGCCAGCUCUGGCAUUAACGUGCUAAAAGACUCAGCAAAAAAAAAAGUCUUACAACUCAGCAAAAAAAAUAACCUGACAAAAAGCAGCGGAGUAUCUGCUGCUGACUUAUCAAGCAGAAACAGCACAGCAAGCAUCCACUGAUCAAUGCCAGCAGUGCAAGCGAGGGUGUGGGGCAUGGAAAUCAGGACCGUUUUUUUGCCAUGGACAUGUAGUCUCAUCCAAAAGUUGCAUUUAACUCACUUUAGUUCCCCAAACCAGCAGGCUGCAGUCACACCAUUAAUUAUGCCUGCAAUAGGUUUGGUAUGUGAGUGAUUGUGAAACCACAGCCUAGUUCUAUAUCAUUCAAGUGGUUCACAAGAUACAAAUACACUGCAUAAAGUAGGCAGCUAUUAGACACUGACAGUACUAAAGGCAAACAAAUCCUGGAAGACCUAGAAGUAACCUCAAGCAAAGAGACUGCAGUGUUUCCACAACAAAGCUUAAACAUUUCUUUCUAUAAUUAAAUAUCCUCUCAAACACUACAUGAGAUACAAACAGUCUCUCAUAACUACUUACAGAACACCUUCAGUAAGAUCCCUUCAGAUGGCAACACUGAAUUUCAAAACCCAUCUCAUCAGCCUGGAAACACUGGAAAAUAACCACUGUGCCUUUUCAUUUUAAUGCAUUAAAACCUGUGUGUUCACGUUUUGGUUUGGUUUUCUUCACCAGACACCAUCUGAUGAAAGCAAAGAGCUAAUGGCAUCUUCAAACUCACUUUGAAACCUACAGAACAUUUCUGAAGCUGACAGGAAAUUACAACUACAUUGUGCACCAGCAGGAUAAAUAUAUAUAUAUAUACAUAUAUAUGCUUCAAAAAGCAGUACCAGGAGUUCUCUAAGAAUACUGUAUGCUACAACUCUGUCACAAAAAUAUAUAGUAUAAAAUUGCUGGUUUUGUUAAAGAUAGUUAUUUGGUUAACUACCAAAAAGCCCCCAAUUACUCAGUAUCCAUGAGUGGAUCCAACACAACCAUAAUUCAACCUUUAUUCUGGGAAUUAUCUGCAAUAAAACAGCUGUGGAGCACAUCCCUGACCUCGAGGGCAAUAUUAUUUUGUUGUUACUAAAUCUGUACAUUGGUUAGUCAAUGAAGUUUCUAAAGGCCAUGCCACUGAAGAGGUAUCUUUGUUCCAGAAGACUAAAGAUUCAACCAUCCCACUGCCUAGUUAUUUUUAAUAUUAACACAUUUAUAAUGGCAGAUGGCUUUUAAAGGACUAUGAAAAAGACUACAAAUUCCUUGCAAACAACAGAAAGGUCUAAGUUGUUCCUUUCUGGAUUUCUCAAUGCAAUGCUCUGAGAGGUGCCAGGCCUCUCAUUUUCACCUCUUCAAGGCAGAGGAAUUCAAUAAUCGUCCUACUCAUUGACCAGACUCCAGGUUGCAACUCCUGUACACCAGACCUGACAGCUUGAGGUUGGCUGGAGGUUGUUUUUCUUUCAGUAACCUACUGAAAGCUGAAGCAUGGAUUUACAUACCUGACUGUGCUCAGGUACAGGAAGCGGUACAGCACCCACCCCAUCAACAGCACACAGCUCUGUGCCAGACCAUACACACGAAGAGGAGGUGGCAUGUGCCACCUUAGCGGUUUACCUCAUGGUAAGAGGCCAAACUCUUCUUUAACCAUCAUUUCCAGCUGUACCUCCUGAGAGGCUGCCACUCCCUCAACUGCAUUCAAGCCCAAAACACAGGUAACAGUGGUCAUCCUUGAGCUGAUGGGGGAAACCUCAGCUGAGGUGAGGGCAAACAGGACAACCACUAUUUCAAAACACUGAUAACCAAUAACCAUUAUGAGCUGUGGGAGCAAUAGUCACCUACUAGUUCACUUUACUGUGAACCCUACCAAACCCCAGCUUUGCUUAAGAAGUUGUACGCAUCCCACAGGUUCAAACCCUAUCAAUCUGAAGUCUCACAUCUCAAAGUAAACGUGGAAGCCCCAGCUUCCCCUGAUACCUCAGGGUUAGCCUGGCAUUUUCAGCCCCCCCGUUACUCCCUUUUACAGAAGCUGUGCUUCUAAACUGCCCCAUUUCUUUGCUGGCAUGAAUGGCUGUGCAAAUCAAAAUCCAUCUUGUUAGCUGGCUGAAGGCACGUAGCAAAGUCUCCGGUAGCACUAGUUCAAAAACAAUUACUGCCUAACAAAUACUUUGUUUGCCAACUGAACUGCAGGUUCCUUUGAUUCUGGCACCCCUUUUUAUUAACAGCAAAGAUCCUGUGUUCAGAAAAGCGAUAUCCCCAUUUCCUGUUCAAUAUGAACCGUUACUGAGACAUGGUUCAGCUCCAGUUCAGUGAAAACUUAUGCACGUAACAGUCUGCAACUUCAUCACCUCCACAGAGCUCUGGUACUGACCGCUGUUUGCCUUUGCUCAUCUCUACCUUGACCAAGACAUAAAUCUUACUCCGGGCAACAGCAGGGUGGAAAGAACAGUUUCUCUGCAAAGCAAACCAGUUUAUUAGAAAACAAACCCCACUUACUAAGUAAUUCUGCUGGAGUGAGACAGGUCAGAGAGCCAACAGUCACCUCUGAACUCACACCAGAACAAAUCAUCUGCUUCCAAAGAAGUUAUUCCACUUUCUAUCAGAAGCUGCCUCCACAGAGUUCACCUAUCAGUCUUUAGAGGUAUUAACCCUCAUCUAUCACCACUCUUCUCCAGUAAUAAUCUUUCCUUUAAAGACAACAAAAAAGCCCCAGUGUCACAGUGUAAAAGACCUAUCCCCAUAUUUAGGUACAGAAGCCAUUAGUGACAGCACUAAACUUCUGUGUCAGAAGUAUCUGUGGAGCCUUACUACCUACCAAGAGGACAACAACAAUUUACCAAUGGCUGCAAGUGUCAAACAAAGACGAAUUUUUAAGCUAGAAAUAAACGGUUGAUAAUAGGACACAGAGAAGAUCUGCUUUGUGACAACAGCCUGGUAACUGGGGAUUUUCAAUGGAAAAACUCAUGUUUUCAUUCCUGAAAACUUCAUCAUCAGUUUCCUCAAUUUAGAAUAUAUUACCAGAGCAGAAGUCACUAAGGGACCAGGAUUAUUGCCAUCCAUCAGUCCCAUCCACAGGGGGACCAUGAGAAGAAAAAAACCCACACUGAUGCCUAAAUCCCAAAUCAACUCAAACUCAGAGAGAAUGAGGGACCUUUUAAACUAUCAAAUCUAAGCUCACUACUAAUGGCAAUGCACCAUCUACUUCUUAUCAUAGAGUGAUGAAUAUCUGUCUAAACUGUUUGGAUUCUUGCCCCCACUAAUCCUAUUAAAGGUUACUAUAAAGCCA